UACGUAGGGGGCGAGCGUUGUCCGGAUUUAUUGGGCGUAAAGAGCGUGUAGGCGGCCAGGUAGGUCUGCUGUGAAAACUCGAGGCUCAACCUCGAGACGUCGGCGGAAACCAUCUGGCUAGAGUCCGGAAGAGGCGAGUGGAACUCCUGGUGUAGCGGUGGAAUGCGCAGAUAUCAGGAGGAAUACCGAUGGCGAAGGCAGGUCUCUGGGCUAACACUGACGCUCAUGCACGAAAGCGUGGGGAGCAAACAGG
rnacentral:rRNA from 1 species